rnacentral:rRNA from 1 species
AUGGCCAACGUAGUCCUCAACUUCAACGCGUUCCUAGAGAAAACCAAGCUGAAAGACGAUGGCAGCAACUACACGGACUGGGUCCGGAACCUGAGGAUCAUCCUCAUAGCUGCCAAGAAAGAUUAUGUCCUACAAGCAUCGCUGGGUGACGCACAUGUUCUCCCUGCAGAAGAAGACGUUAUGAACGCUUGGCAGGCACGUACCGAUGACUACUCCCUCGUUCAGUGCGGCAUGCUUUACAGCUUAGAGCCGGGGCUCCAAAAGCGUUUUGAGAGACACGGAGCAUAUGAGAUGUUCGAAGAGCUGAAAAUGGUUUUCCAAGCUCAUGCCCGGGUCGAGAGCUAUCAAGUCUCCGACAAGUUCUUCAGCUGUAAGAUGGAGAAAAACAGUUCUGUCAGUGAGCACAUACUCACUAUGUCUGGGUUACAUAACCGCUUGACUCAGCUGGGAGUUAAUCUCCCGAAUGACGCGGUCAUUGACAGAAUCCUUCAGUCGAUUCCACCGAGCUACAAGAGCUUUGUGAUGAACUUCAAUAUGCAGGGGAUGAAAAAGACCAUUCCUGAAGUAUUUGCAAUGCUGAAAUCAGCAGAGGUAGAAGUCAAAAAGGAACAUCAAGUGUUAAUGGUGAAUAAAACCACUAAGUUCAAGAAGGGUAAGGGUAAGAAAGCCUUCAAGAAGGACGGCAAGGGAGUUUCCGCGCCCGGCAAGCAAGCUGCUGGAAAGAAGCCAAAGAAUGGACCCAAGCCUGAGACUGGGUGCUUUUAUUGCAAGGAAAGUAGUCACUGGAAGCGAAACUGCCCCAAAUACUUAGCGGACAAGAAGGCCGGCAAAACGAAAGGUAUAUGUGAUAUACAUGUAAUUGAUGUGUACCUUAAGUGUACUCGUAGUAGCUCCUGGGUAUUUGAUACCGGUGCAGUUACUCACAUUUGUACUCAAAGCAGGAGCUGCGGAAUAGGGGAGACUGGCGAAGGACGAGGUGACGAUGCGCGUCGGGAAUGGUUCCAAGGUCGAUGUGAUCGCCGUCGGCACGCUACCUCUACAUUUACCUACGGGAUUAGUUUUGAACCUCAAUAA